rnacentral:lncRNA from 1 species
UAUUCAGAGAAGUGCUUUCGGCUUGUGUGUCAUCGUCGGCUCUUACAGUUGAUUCUGGUGCUCUUUUUUGGAACCGAGAAGGGUGGGUUCAGUAGAUUAAUGCAACAUUCUAUUAUUCUAAGAAUACAAAGUUCAAAAACAGAUAAAUACUUAAAAUAUGUGUAAAUGUGAUAUAAACGAAUAAAUGUGAUUGAAUAAAUGCGAAUAUUGGUAAAAAUAAAUUAGGCUAAUAGAAAAAACAGAAAAUAACUAUACAGACACAAAAAAUGGAAAUAUAAGGUCUUUCUGCUCUCUUUUUUGCAGUCUUGUAAUUUAAGGUCAUUUACACAUCACUAAAUAUGCCUGGGUUCUCGGAAUAUUAUGUGCCUCUACCUCAGCAGAUACCUCCAUGGCUUUUGUAUGCUGUCCACUUGUCUAUCAUUAAUAAUUGUUGCAUCAUGCUUACCUUUGUAUAUUUGGAUGCUCUCUGCUAUGAGUUCAUUGACGUUGGUUAUUUGUUUGGUCACUUUACUUUCCUCCCAUCUUAUACUUGCAUUACUCUCAUAAGCUGUCUUGGCUAAGGCUCUCAUCAAAUUUGCAUUUGUAAUGUCCCUCUUGUGGUCUGCUAAUCUAUUCUUCAGAUUCCUGCAAGUUGCCCCUAUGUAUAAUUCUUUUUUCUGUCGUCCAAGUUCUGCAGUGGGAUGCUGUAUACUCCCGUUCUUUCUUCUUGGCUGUGAGCAUCUUUGACAUUUCUUAGUAAGUUGAUUGUGGGGGAGUCUCUUAUAGGUGGGCUUUCUUUCAUUUUUCUUUAUCACCUUUUUAAUGUUCAAAAGUCUCUUAAUGUCUUAUGAGACACAUUGAGUUGAGUAGUGAUGUCUUUUGUAGUGUUAUGUAUGUGUUGGGGUGUAGAUCUAGUAUUUUGAGGCUUUUGUGAGA